rnacentral:tRNA from 1 species
GCCUGGGUGGCUUAGUUGGUUAAGUGUCCGACUUCGGUUCAGGUUAUGAUCUCAUGAUUCGUGGGUUUUAGCCCCACAUCAGGCU